rfam:Glomerella graminicola M1.001 genomic scaffold supercont1.91, whole genome shotgun sequence.
GGCCCUCUGGCGCAACGGUAGCGCGUCCGACUCCAGAUCGGAAGGGUAUCUGUUCGAAUCAGGUGGGGGUCA